CGUUUCUAUUUUUUCUAUUUUAUUUUUCUUGAAACGAAAUCGAAAACACACAUUUUUUUCUGUUGCUUGAAAGAGGAGAUUCUGCAUGGUGUAAUACAAAAUACUACAAAUAGCAACUUUUUGGAGAUAAUAGAGAAAUAGGUCACCAAACUUUAUAAGUGUUUUCCAAUAUGUGAAAGUAUAAUGUACAAAGAAUAUUCAUUGAGGAGUUAAUAUUACCAAAAUAUACUCUAAUAAAACAAUGAUAAUAUAAUAGAGUGCCAACUGAAUUUCGUUGCUCUGGUUUCCUGUUUCUCUGUUGUCUGGCUUUCAGCUUCACAAUCUAAUUCAGUCAUUGACUGACUAUGUGCUCUUUAGCUAAUUCUGUAGCUCCUUUAAUACAUCAUUAUACAACUCAUUCUUGCCUCUUCCUAUUUUCUAUUCAUGUAUCUUUUUCUACAGUAAUACUUUCCCCAUGCUGAAAAAUAAAAUAUAGCUACUUCCAGAAAGGUAAUUAUAGAUAUGCAUGCAUUCUGCAUUCACAGUCUUAUUCAUGGAAGUAUUAAGGAUGCAAUAAACUUGCAAUGAUAUGGCUAAAGUACAUUGUAUAUCUUGGGUCCCAAAACACAGCAAACCAGAACACAAAUUCAUUGAAUUUAAAAAGAAUAAAUUUUCAAACGAACUACAAUUUUCUGGGAUAACACAGAAAGGGCUAAAGUUGAAAAUAACAGUAUGGUGAUUAUAACCACAAUAGAGUAUUAUAUACUUGAAAACUGAAACGGAACGGGAACUUAAAUAUUCU